rnacentral:rRNA from 2 species
AUAUUUAAGUUGCUGCAGUUAAAAAGCUCGUAGUUGGAUUUCGGAUGGGUUCCGUCGGUCCGCCGUUUCGGUGUGCACUGACGGCGCCUAUCUUGCUGUCGGGGACGGGCUCCUGGGCUUUACUGUCCGGGACUCGGAGUCGACGAGGUUACUUUGAGUAAAUUAGAGUGUUCAAAGCAGGCCUACGCUCUGAAUACAUUAGCAUGGAAUAACACGAUAGGACUCUGGCCUAUCUUGUUGGUCUGUAGGACCGGAGUAAUGAUUAAGAGGGACAGUCGGGGGCAUUCGUAUUUCAUUGUCA